CCAACCCGCACGAGACUAUUGCUAUUACUAUUACUAAAUUGGUUGGACCAACAUUUGAACGGUUGUUUCUUUAUCUCACGCCUGGUAUACAUAUAUCAAAGAACCUCUUCUCCAUCCUAUAAAUUGGAGCGAGACAGUAUAUGAAAACACUACCUGAAGCUGAGAGACUUGCAGGAAAAUGAAUUCUGGAACUGCUAACUGGCUCUGCUUAAGGAGGCUCUUACCUGGCUUUUCCCACUUAUCCACUAUCGGACAGGAGACUACUGAACUAGGUGUUCAUUCAGAGGGAUCCAAGAGGGUUGUUCUUGUGUCAUGAUCUUGCAGCAAUACCAUUAUACUAAGACUGAAAAUCUACACAUAUACUUCUUUGCUUUUGGUGUCCUGAAUUUUCUUGUGGAAUUGACUAUUAAAUUUUUCCAAGAAUCACAGUACCAAAAAUACCUAUGCAAUUAUCUCUCUGUUAACUGAAAAGAUUUAGAAGACUAAAAGAAAAGAUACCCCUUAAAGCAAACCAAUGUGUUUCAGAAAACAGAACUCACAAAUUCCUGACUUUUACUAUCCUGCUUAUCCAUCAUCUUCUUCUUAAACUUCAGUCUAUGAAAUAUGUAUGGGAAACUGGUAAUCACAGCCUGAACCUCUGAUUAAUCAGCUAACGUGAUUGUCAGGUCAGCUGGGGGAACACAGGUGAGAGUAAUUCAGCUGUGCUUCCAGAAGUGGUGGAGCUUGACUCCACCUCUUUUAGACUUCAUUUAAGAGCUGACCAUCACUAAGGUUGCAUCUCUUGGUUACUGCUCCUCUGUGGGGAUUACCUUUGUGUUUUCCAGCUAGACUGGUGGCUUCUAUACUGACAUCCCUGUGACAUUGGGAUGAAAGGACUGAGCACAACUCUGCCAAAAAAAGACCUGGGGGUACUGGUGGAUGAGAAGCUGGAUUUUCCAGCUCUUGGACUAUGGAAAUAUGAAAAAGAAAAGAACAGAGAAAGAGCUGUAAGGAUAACACAAAGCUAAACCCCAGAACAGUUCAUCUUCCUUAAUCCUUGAAGAGCUUCAGAGAGAAUUUAUUUGUAUUACAGUCAAGAGCUUAUUGCUGAUGAAAGUGAACAUCAUGCACUGAAAUGUCAAGCUUAUAAACUGCUGCCUCCCACUGAAGUCUUCUCCUUUUUUGUCUGUCUUGAAGAAAAGAGCGUCAGAUGACUGUUGUGCUGUCAGUUACAAAGAGGAGUCUGAGCUCCAUGUAGGGCUUCUGCUAGUUUGCUGCUAUUAGGAUGCUCUUGCUAGUCAAGUAAGGGAGGUAGAGUUGACAUCAAGAAAACAGACUUUUGGGUAUGAAGGAUUAUUAAACUUUAUAAGAUAUUUAGAUGUGUAGCUCUUUAGAGGACAGGCAAGUAGCCAGCAGGUACUAGACUACAUAUGGUUUAGGGUGAUGAGGGUGGUAAAAGUAAAGAGUGCAACUUUUUUUAAAGUGGUUAUGAGACUUCCUUCCUAAUCACCAUUAGUUCAGUAUUUUCUAUACUGACAGGCUGCAGUAUAUAAACCUAAAAAUAAAAUUACAGGGGCCUUAUUAAAGUGUUACAUUCUGAAGUUCAUCCUGGGCUGAGUUACAGAAGAUCUUGUUUGCUAGAUAUUAAAAGUCUACCCACCUUUCUGAAUUUAUUUUCGUUUCCUGAGGAGAAGAGUAAGGAUUUUUCUUUUUUUUUUUUUUUUGUCUGGGAAUCUUCUAAAUAAGCAAAUUGAAACCCCUUACAAGGUAAAAUACUCUGUGUUGAGAGAAUUUCCAUUACUGUGAUCUGUGAUUUUGUAUCUUACUGUUACUAGCCAAUCUGCUGUUAGUUAAAGGUGAAAUUUGCUGGCUUAGGCCAUAGAGAGAAACAGUAUGUAAAUCAAAUGCACAUGUUUUGGAACCAAAAGUGUAUGAUGUAUGAGACAUAAUCAUGGAAAAUAAUUCCAAGUCUUUAAAUAUAUUGCUUACUUUGUAUGCUAA